AAUUCGUUGAUUUAUUGUUUUGCUGAUUUGAUUCUUUUGAUAUGUGUUUCAGUUUUGUAGAACGUGGGAGGUUCCAUCGAGAAAGCUUUCGGACGAAGAUGGUUUUGACGAGAACAGAACGAGGUUUGGAAAGGUUACAAUGAGAUGUGGGCAUACGAUCAUCAAAGCGUGUUUGUUUCAUCGUACAAAAAAAAUAUGUUUUGAAGCUCACGAAAACACAGAGGUUGCUCGCUCUAAUGUCAUUAUCGUGCAAGUUAUCGUC